UACGUAGGGCGCAAGCGUUGUCCGGAAGUAUUGGGCGUAAAGAGCUCGUAGGCGGCUUGUCACGUCGAUUGUGAAAGCCCGAGGCUUAACCUCGGGUCUGCAGUCGAUACGGGCUAGCUAGAGUGUGGUAGGGGAGAUCGGAAUUCCUGGUGUAGCGGUGAAAUGCGCAGAUAUCAGGAGGAACACCGGUGGCGAAGGCGGAUCUCUGGGCCAUUACUGACGCUGAGACGCGAAAGCGUGGGGAGCAAACAGG
rnacentral:rRNA from 1 species